rnacentral:rRNA from 1 species
GACAGAGGUCCCGAGCGUUAGGCGGAAUCACUGGGCUUAAAGCGUGUGUAGGCGGAGUUCUAAGUACCUUGUGAAAUCCCACGGCUCAACCGUGGAACUGCUUGGUAUACUGGUUCUCUUGAGCCACCUAGGGGCAACCGGAACAAACGGUGGAGCGGUAAAAUGCGUAGAUAUCGUUUGGAACGCCAAUGGUGAAAACAGGUUGCUGGGGGUGUGCUGACGCUGAGACACGAAAGCCAGGGGAGCAAACGGG